rnacentral:lncRNA from 1 species
GCGUCAUCAAGAUGCAGUGUCCACCCUAACAUGUGGGGGAGCCCAGGGUACAGAUUCUGUAAGCUCAGGGCUCAGGGGCAUCAUCAAGAUGCAGUGUCUACCCUAACGCGUGGGGAAGCCCAGGGUACAGAUUCUGUAAGCUCAGGGUUCAGGGGCAUCAUCAAGAUGCAGUGUCCACCGUAAUGCAUGGAGGAGCCCAGUAUCUGUAAGCUCAAGGCUUAGGGGCAUCAUCUGAGGGGCAGAUUCUGUCUGUUAGCCAGGCCAGCCUUCCAUCUCCACCCCAUGACAGCUGCUCCUUUCUUACCCACCAUAAGGUAGAUGUACAAUUACUGCCUUCUCCCAUUUGACUCCAAGAUGAGUUCAUAGGCUAUUGAGAAGCUUAUAUUUCCUCUCGCUGGGUCAGCUGUGUGCCCCCUUCGCGUAUGAGUGACAGAUAGUAAGACUUCGCUGUAAAGACAGCGUAAAUGCACAACUGAACACAGACUGUUCCUGUUACUGAGCCGGCUGCCCCAGCACAGAAUCCUGUUAGCUUCCUCUGGUCUCGAGUCCAUGGCUUGGGUUUCUCUGCCAGAGGCAGCUUUAACUCCAGUGCCUCCCCAGCCUUUUCCAGCCCUGAUGGUUGGCCUGGCUGUGUUUUUCAGAAGUUAAUGCUUCAGAUGAACUCCAAGAACAAAGCAGCAGCAGACGAGGAAGAGGAAGCAGCAGAGCUUGACGUGUCGGAUGAAGAGAUGGCAAGAAGAUACGAGACCUUGGUGGGAACAAUUGGAAAAAGGUUUGCCAAGAAGAGGGACCGCGCCAAUUACGAAGAAGACGGAGACGCAGACCCAUUGAAGCAGAGAAGGUGCUCCUAAAGCCCCAGAUUAAAAUGGAGCCUUCAACUAGGACCACACCUGUGAGCACAGCCACGGAGCUCCUCCUGGUGGUGACCAUCGUGGUUAAUGCUCCGGUGUUGACUUGUACAGAAAGGAGUCGUUUCAGAAGCUGUUCUUGUGACAGAUAGGGUGGAUGUCAUACAUCCUAGUGGCCUUCUUCGGGGGGUUGUAGCCCCAGGGCUUCAGAUCCAGGCAAAGGGCUGCUGCCUAGAGAUUUUUUUGGCCUGAUUUUUAUUUGUAUGUCUGUACACACAGACAGGACCCAUACAACAUAGUUCUCUGGUUACUGGCCCGGAAUUGACUGCUGUAAACUAUAAUUGUUUAAACCGCCCUUAUAUUUAUAUUUUACUUUAUUAAUCAUGUCAAGCCAAGUCACACAUUGACUUUGGAGUCACAUGUUCUGAGAACUUACCAGAUGAGCUCACCAAGAGCAGCCAUGAUUCUCCAGCCUGGAGUGUGGCCUGCUCUUGGGUCGCUGCCUGUUCAUAGUGGUAUGGGUUUUUUGUUCACUUAAGGCAGUUAAUUGGGUGAUUUUUCAAACGUCCUGUAAUAAACAUCUGUGUUCACAUACUUUGUCUUUUCUUACAUUUUGAAAAAUAAUCUUAGUAAUACAAUUUAUAAAGAUUAGAUAUUAAGAAUAUAGUGACCUGUAAGACUGAACCAUAAAAAAUUACCUUUUAUGAGUCAAGAAUAAUAAUCAGUUCCUAGGGUCUAGCUCGAUAGAAUUUUGAUUUUUCAAACGUCCUGUAAUAAACAUCUGUGUUCACAUACUUUGUCUUUUCUUACAUUUUGAAAAAUAAUCUUAGUAAUACAAUUUAUAAAGAUUAGAUAUUAAGAAUAUAGUGACCUGUAAGACUGAACCAUAAAAAAUUACCUUUUAUGAGUCAAGAAUAAUAAUCAGUUCCUAGGGUCUAGCUCGAUAGAAUUUAGCGCUGACUAGAUCAUCUUCAGUCUGAACCUGCUCUAAGCAUAUAAACACGUGGAACUGUGUGUGCCUGUAGGUGUGUGCUGAGGACUUCUGGCAGUUUUGAUUUCAUUUAAUUUGUGACCGACA